CGAGUCCCCAAGAUUUGCCACAUACAAAACACCAUUUGACAUUGCCCCAACAAGGCAACAAGAACCCACUGAAACAAUCUGAGGCUUAGCUAUCCAUGUUCGCUUUACCAAUUCCAAGAAUUCCUCUUCUGUGGCAUCAAAUGCCUUCCUUAUCACAUCUACUGAUAGUCCACCUUGCUCUGUUGCGAACUUGUGGAUAAAAGAGAAUAGAUUAUCAGCAAUAAACCGAGAAGCCUCGGGGCCACCAUGGCCAUCAUAGACACCGACAUAAGUGGCAGAAGAAGAAGUGAAG
rnacentral:misc_RNA from 1 species